rnacentral:rRNA from 1 species
AUUGAACGCUGGCGGCAGGCCUAACACAUGCAAGUCGAGCGGAUGAAGGGAGCUUGCUCCUGGAUUCAGCGGCGGACGGGUGAGUAAUUCCUAGGAAUCUGCCUGGUAGUGGGGGAUAACGUCCGGAAACGGGCGCUAAUACCGCAUACGUCCUGAGGGAGAAAGUGGGGGAUCUUCGGACCUCACGCUAUCAGAUGAGCCUAGGUCGGAUUAGCUAGUUGGUGGGGUAAAGGCCUACCGAGGCGACGAUCCGUAACUGGUCUGAGAGGAUGAUCAGUCACACUGGAACUGAGACACGGUCCAGACUCCUACGGGAGGCAGCAGUGGGGAAUAUUGGACAAUGGGCGAAAGCCUGAUCCAGCCAUGCCGCGUGUGUGAAGAAGGUCUUCGGAUUGUAAAGCACUUUAAGUUGGGAGGAAGGGCAGUAAGUUAAUACCUUGCUGUUUUGACGUUACCAACAGAAUAAGCACCGGCUAACUUCGUG